GACGAACGCUGGCGGCGUGCUUAACACAUGCAAGUCGAACGGAAAGGCCCAGCUUGCUGGGUACUCGAGUGGCGAACGGGUGAGUAACACGUGGGUGAUCUGCCCUGGACUCUGGGAUAAGCCUUGGAAACUGGGUCUAAUACCGGAUAUGACCUUACAUCGCAUGGUGUUUGGUGGAAAGCUUUUGCGGUUCAGGAUGGGCCCGCGGCCUAUCAGCUUGUUGGUGGGGUAGUGGCCUACCAAGGCGACGACGGGUAGCCGACCUGAGAGGGUGAUCGGCCACACUGGGACUGAGACACGGCCCAGACUCCUACGGGAGGCAGCAGUGGGGAAUAUUGCACAAUGGGCGCAAGCCUGAUGCAGCGACGCCGCGUGAGGGAUGACGGCCUUCGGGUUGUAAACCGCUUUCACCAGGGACGAAGCGUGAGUGACGGUACCUGGAGAAGAAGCACCGGCUAACUACGUG
rnacentral:rRNA from 1 species